rnacentral:lncRNA from 1 species
AUUUCGAAGCUGAAGAGGUUAGGCGACGCUGACUUGCUUUCAGGAGAGGCACUCGGUAAUCGAGAAGAACCGGCUUUCGGCCAGCCAGGAGUGGCCAGAGGCCUAGAAGGGGAGAGGAAGGCCUGCCUGCCCAGCAUUGCAAGGCCCAGCGAUCACCAGACGUGCCUCAGGACACAGGGCACAGUGUCCAACUUUGACGCGUCCUCUCCGGGCACUUUAAUACCAAAUCACGGCUCCGCCACUUGACAGCUAUGUGGACAGUCCCUGAACCUUAAACGGUCUUUUCCUUGUGUGUAAAUUCCGAGUUCAUUUUUCCCCCAUCACAUUAGCAACAAGUUAAAAAAACUGAUAAUAUCCGGUUUGGUCCAAGGUAUAUUGAAACCUGUUGUGUGCCCUCGCAGCGCUAUCACAGUGGAACUUGGACAUGUUAAAAGUAUAUAUCCUUCCUCCCGGCAGUUUCACUUCUAGACACUAAUUCUAGAGAAAUAAGUAUACACAUACACAAAAAGCUAUGUGUGAAGAUAUUUAAUGCCAUAUUAUUUGCAUUCUGGAGAAACACUGGGGAUGAAAUGAAGAUUAAUAGGAAACUGGUUAAGAGAACGCUGCUACACAUCCAAUCUGGGUUGUCAUCCAUCCAAGAAUGAACUAGAUAGUUACUGAAUUUAAAAAA